rnacentral:rRNA from 1 species
AUAGCGUAUAUUUAAGUUGUUGCAGUUAAAAAGCUCGUAGUUGAACCUUGGGCCUGGCUGGCCGGUCCGCCUCACCGCGUGCACUGGUCCGGCCGGGCCUUUCCUUCUGGGGAGCCGCAUGCCCUUCACUGGGUGUGUCGGGGAACCAGGACUUUUACUUUGAAAAAAUUAGAGUGUUCAAAGCAGGCCUAUGCUCGAAUACAUUAGCAUGGAAUAAUAAAAUAGGACGUGUGGUUUUAUUUUGUUGUUUUCUAGAGCCGCCGUAAUGAUUAAUAGGGAUAGUCGGGGGCAUCAGUAUUCAAUUGUCAGAGGUGAAAUUCUUGGAUUUAUUGAAGACUAACUACUG